rnacentral:lncRNA from 1 species
UGUUUAGAUAAGAUUUUUAGUGACAAAAAAAAUCCAAGGGUAUCAUUUGAAAUAAGUGAGAAAGUAUAUAUUUUAUAGUGCUGUGCAAAUUAAUUGGGACAAGAUCUAAUUUUUAAAUAAAUUUCAUGUUAUAUUCAAAUCCAAUCAUUAUAAGAGUAGCCAAAAAUGCUCUAUUAGCAUACUGAAAUAAGUAUUAGCAUCCUUUAACUUGUUUAUCUUUUUCACUUCCUACUUUGUUAAACAGUUAAGCUUGUAAUUGACUGUGAUAAUUUUGAUUUUGUUAAUUUUUGAUUUAAUAAAUUUAAAUAUGGAUAUAACAUCAAUAAAAGCAUUCAAAUAACACAUAUCUGUGAGUGUGAGAGAUAUUGCUAAAGCAGUUGGAGUUGGAAAAUCAAAUGUUUCAAAGAUAAUUCAAACUCGGAAUGAAACAUGAACUUUUUCUCAAAAAUGAAAGGGUAAAAAUGUAUCGUCCAAAAAUGCAAAACAACCAUAAGAAGUGAUGAGUUAUUAUUAAGAAAUAGUAAAAUUAACUCUCAAAAGAAAAGUAAAGAUCUUCAAAGAGAUAUGGUAAUAGCAGGAAUUAUUUUGGAAUCCUAAACAGUAAGAAAAAGAAUUCUUUAAAUUGGUAGAACAGCAAGGACACCAAUGAAGAAACAACUUCUAACCAACGUCAUGACAAGAAAAAGAUUGAUGUGGUUAAAGGAAUAAAAAAAAUGGACCACUGAUAAUUGGAAGAAUGGGAUUUCUUACAAAUAAGACUCAUUUCAUUGUGCGAGAUGCAUUUGUAGUAGUUGUGAAAAGAAGUCCAGAUGAAUCUUUAAGAAAUGAUCAUUUGAAUCAAACAAUAAAGCAUCCUAACAAAAAAUGUUUUUUGGUAUAUUUUACUUGCAGUGGACCAGGAACACUGCAAGUAAAAUAUACUCAAAAACUGGACCAGUUCAUCCCAAUUUAGGGGAUGAUGAACUCUCUAAAAUGUUUUCUAUAUUGAUAGAAUUUUUCUUCCAAAGAUAUCAACAUAUUUUUCAUCAGUGUAAAUAGAUUUUUGCAGCAUGAUCUUGGUCCAUGCCACACUUCAAAGAAAAUGAAAAAUUGAAAAAUUUUGUGCAACAAAAAGGAAUUACUAUCUUAGAAUGGCUAGAAAAUUUAUCAAAUUUAAAUCUUAUAGAAAAUUAGUGGGUACUUGUAAAGAGCAGAGUAGGAAAAUUGGCUUACACUAUAAAGAAACAACUGAUAAACAAUGUUAUUAUUAUAGAAAUGUGAUAUUAUGAUGAUGCAUUAAAGAAAAUGUGUGGAAAUCUUGUCAGUUCCAUGUCCAAAAGGGCUCAACAAUUAAUACAGGCUAGAAGAGGACAUAUUUCAUAUUAAAAUACCGUUAACAAUUUGUGGAAUAAUAAAAAUUCAGUUAAAACCUGAAAAUUGCUGAAAUUUUCAUUUGUCCCAAUUAUCUUUGCACAGCACUAUAUGUUUUUUAGAAAACAGGAUUGAUUUUUGAUUCGGCUAGAUCCUGUUGUUAGAUAUAGUGCAGGUGAUAAGUUUUAAAAUAAAAUUUAAUGAGGUUUUUUUAUUGAGUUGAAACUGAAAUAUUAAAAAUGGAAUGUUUACUCUGGAACAGACUAUAUUUUCAAAAUAGAAAUUAUUCAAUAUUGAUUUAUUAUUUUCAUAAU